AGCCAGACUCCUACGGGAGGCAGCAGCGGGGAAUAUUGCACAAUGGGGGAAACCCUGAUGCAGCGACGCCGCGUGAGCGAUGAAGUAUUUCGGUAUGUAAAGCUCUAUCAGCAGGGAAGAAGAUGACGGUACCUGACUAAGAAGCCCCGGCUAACUACGUGCCAGCAGCCGCGGUAAUACGUAGGGGGCAAGCGUUAUCCGGAUUUACUGGGUGUAAAGGGAGCGUAGACGGCGAUGCAAGCCAGAUGUGAAAGCCCGGGGCUCAACCCCGGGACUGCAUUUGGAACUGUGUGGCUGGAGUGUCGGAGAGGCAGGCGGAAUUCCUAGUGUAGCGGUGAAAUGCGUAGAUAUUAGGAGGAACACCAGUGGCGAAGGCGGCCUGCUGGACGAUGACUGACGUUGAGGCUCGAAAGCGUGGGGAGCAAACAGGAUUAGAUACCCGGGUA
rnacentral:rRNA from 1 species